UACGUAGGUGGCAAGCGUUGUUCGGAAUUAUUGGGCGUAAAGGGCGCGUAGGCGGUUUGUUAAGUCGGCUGUGAAAGCCCGGGGCUCAACCCCGGAGGGUCAGCCGAUACUGGCAGACUAGAGUACGGAAGAGGUAGCUGGAAUUCCCGGUGUAGCGGUGAAAUGCGUAGAUAUCAGGAGGAACACCCGUGGUGCAGACGGCUUGCUGGACCUCCACUGACGCUGAGGCACGAAAGCGUGGGGAGCAAACAGG
rnacentral:rRNA from 1 species